GCCCCAGUGGCCUAAUGGAUAAGGCACUGGCCUCCUAAGCCAGGGAUUGUGGGUUCGAGUUCCAUGCGGGGUG
rfam:Danio rerio chromosome 22, GRCz11 reference primary assembly.